UUUUAUUUUUCGACCUGAAUUCAGACGUGAUUACCCGCUGAACUUAAGCAUAUCAGUAAGCGGAGGAAAAGAAACUAACAAGGAUUCCCUUAGUAACGGCGAGUGAAA
rnacentral:rRNA from 1 species